rnacentral:lncRNA from 1 species
GCCCAUGUCACCACUGGUGUUGAUUUCACAUCUUCUCCUUCUUCUGAUGGCCAUAAUUCUCCUGCUUCUGGAAAUCAUACUGAGGGUUAUUCACCUGUCCAACAUGUAGAUGGACAUAGUUCUGUUAUUCCUGGAUUGAGCAGACACCAUUAUGAUCAAUUGAUGAAUCUGCUCCAAUAGUCCAAUUUUGGUGACUCCACUGCUCAAACUUCUCCUGCUCAGACCUCUCCUACUAUGUGUGCUGCCAACUUUGCUGGUACUAUGCUUAUUGAGAGUCCUAUUUCUAAUUCCAAACUCUGUCUACUUACUCAUAUUCCUUCUGUCUCCUGGAUAAUAGAUUCUGGAGAUUCUGAUCACAUGACAUCCUCCUACUAUGUGUGCUACCAACUUUGCUGGUACUAUUCUUACUGAGAGUCCUGUUUCUAAUUCCAAACUCUGUCUACUUACUCAUAUUGCUUCUGUCUCCUGGAUAAUAGAUUCUGGAGCUUCUGAUCACAUGACAUCUAAUAAACACUUACUCUUCAAUAUCAC